rnacentral:misc_RNA from 1 species
UACGUAGGUGGCUAGCGUUGUUCGGAAUUACUGGGCAUAAAGGGUCCGUAGGCGGCCUGCUUAGUCCGAUGUGAAAGCCCUCGGCUCAACCGAGGAAUUGCGUCGGAUACUGGCAGGCUUGAGGGUCGGAGGGGAGAGCGGAAUUCCUGGUGGAGCGGUGAAAUGCGUAGAUAUCAGGAGGAACGCCGGUGGCGAGGGCGGCUCACUGGACGACUUCUGACGCUGAGGGACGAAAGCCAGGGGAGCAAACGGG